rnacentral:rRNA from 1 species
UACGAAGGGGGCUAGCGUUGCUCGGAAUCACUGGGCGUAAAGGGUGCGUAGGCGGGUCUUUAAGUCAGGGGUGAAAUCCUGGAGCUCAACUCCAGAACUGCCUUUGAUACUGAGGAUCUUGAGUUCGGGAGAGGUGAGUGGAACUGCGAGUGUAGAGGUGAAAUUCGUAGAUAUUCGCAAGAACACCAGUGGCGAAGGCGGCUCACUGGCCCGAUACUGACGCUGAGGCGAAGCUAAGGGCGUCGGAACAAGCAGGU